CAGUUGUCGUGCCAACGGCAUAGCUGGGUAGCUAUGUGUGGACGGGAUAAGUGCUGAAAGCAUCUAAGCAUGAAGCCCCCCUCAAGAUGAGAUUUCCCAACUUCGGUUAUAAGAUCCCUCAAAGAUGAUGAGGUUAAUAGGUUCGAGGUGGAAGCAUGGUGACAUGUGGAGCUGACGAAUACUAAUCGAUCGAAGACUUAAUCAA
rnacentral:rRNA from 1 species